GAGAAGAAUAACAACUUGUAUUUUCUGGAUACUGAGAGAGAUGUCACACCAACCUGAUUUAUCACCCCCCAUUACAUAGUUUACAGUGCAAUGAACAGUGUAAUCUCAUGACUUGUUUUCCCAACAUGUUUAUAUGUCUGUUUUUCCCAGGGUUCAGUUUGGCUUUUGCAGCAGACUAUCCCUCCUGGUGUGAUGAUGAAAACAUUCCAGUAGCAGAUCAGAAAGCUGCUCAGCAUGGCCCAUCACAUCCCACCUGCUCAGUCCCUUACGCCGGUACCCCCUGCUCACCUUCUAAACCUUCCAACAACUCCAUUAAAACAUGUUCGCAUCAGCCUGGCCGAGGCCUGACCCGUACAAUGCUUUUAGGAGGUCCGUGCGGAUAUUUAUAGCAGACCGUGGACAAACACACAUUCACACACACACUUGCACGGAGUGCACCGUUUAACUCUGUUCCUGUCGGUGACUCGGAGGAGGAAAAAACCCAGAGAAAGUACAUUUUCCAAGUCAAACAUUCUCAGAGACAAGUCUUUCUAUAUUUCACUGCUUCUGAGUGAGGUUUACUUAAGAACAGGCUGUAUUUCAUGCUGCGGAUAUGAUUCUACUAAAGGAUGUAGUCAGGCUCUGGGAAGAACGGGAAAAUGACUCUUCAGUGCGGUCCGUUUGUCAGGUAUAAAUAACAUGUAACCUGUUUCCCAUGUGUGCAUCCAGCGACAAGGCCGACAUUCAAUGCUGUCAUAAUUGCUAAACCACGCCGCAAAGGGGGGAGCCAGUGAACGGAGGCCGGGCUGAGAACUGGUCACAGCCAUCUUAACGCCAAGCGUACCCCCGACCCCAUCCUCAUAAUAAAUCAGUUUGAGAAGCAUGAUAACAGGGAGAGCCCCACGCUAUCCCGAGAGGCCACUAAAUCCUUCAGAAACAGGACAUAAUUCUGCACUUGAACAGUCCGUAUCCGGUCAGAUGGUGGAUCAGCACCAAGAGAUGAUGUCUACAGCCCUGAUCAUCAGUGGAGACCAGGACACCCAGAUGACCCCCAGAGACAUAUCCCCAGUGAAAACCUCGAUUGAAUACAAUAAAACUAAAAAAAAAAACAAAAUAACUAAAAUAUAAUAAAAUACCUAACUGCAUAAUACUACUAUUGUUAGAAAUUGCAACAAAAUUAAAAUAGAAAUAUAAACUUUUGAACUGCGGGUUUCGUCUGGUCAGAGGAGAACUGGCUCCCCGACUGAGCCUGGUUUCUCCCAAGGUUUUUUUCUCCAUUCUGUCACAGAGGGAGUUUUGGUUCCUUGCCGCUGUCGCCUCUGGCUUGCUCAGUUGGGGACACUUAAUUUCUAGCGAUUAUCGCCGAUUUGAUUGCACAGAUAUUAUUUAAACUAAACUGAGCUAGACAAUGACAUCUCUGAAUUCAAUAAUGAAAUGCCUUUAACUGAAAAUUGAGUGUUUAAUCUUAUCAUUAUACAUUACUGACACUCGAUCCUCUAAUUUGAUACUGUUAAGUGCUUUGACACAAUCUGUAUUGUUAAAAGCGCUAUAUAAAUAAAGGUGACUUGACUUGACUUGACUAGUGCUUUGAGAACAAAAAGACUUGUCUUCAAGAGAAUUUAAAAAAAAACAUGGAAAAAAAAUAUCCAUCUUUGUCAGUCCAUAAAAAGCAGAUUGAUGGGACCCUCAAAGUUAAUGCAUUAAAAACCACACAAAACUCUAAAAUGAUCUGAAAACAAUAUUGUUCCUCUGUAUUGUCAUUAUUUUUUUAGUUGUGACUUGGACUCCACUAUUCUCCAGGGCCCGGUUGCAUGAAAGUCCUUAAGUAAUUUGACUUAGGGGUAUCCUUGAGGUGAAACACUUCCCUGAGGUAAGGGAUUCCUUUAAGAGCGUUGCAACAAACGUCUUAACUGUCACCCUUACUUAAGGGUGCGUCCGAAAUCGCAUACUUCCCUACUAUAUAGUAUGCAAAAAACAGUAUGCGAGGCGAGUAGUAUGUCCAAAUUCACAGUAUUCGAAAAACAGUAGGCGAGAAGUACCCGGAUGACCUACUGCUUCCGCCCGAAUUCUGUAGUAGGCAUACGAUGGACACUUCACCGUCCCAUAAGGCCGCGGGAGAGGAGUCAUUCGAAAAUGGCGGAAAGCCGCGAUGUGGCUGUCUUGAAGUGGACUGAUGAACACUUGAAAGCAUAAUGCUGCUAUCAAAGGGUUUAAACGCUUUUACCCAAAGCAACUUACAACUGGGGAAUACAUAAAGCGAUUCAUCUUGAAGAGGCAAUCAGACAGACGAAGUGCUUGCAACACCAAGUCUCAGG